rnacentral:rRNA from 1 species
CCGAAUGGGGAAACCCAGUGUGAYUCGUCACACUAUCAUUAACUGAAUCCAUAGGUUAAUGAGGCGAACCGGGGGAACUGAAACAUCUAAGUACCCCGAGGAAAAGAAAUCAACCGAGAUUCCCCCAGUAGCGGCGAGCGAACGGGGAGGAGCCCAGAGCCUGAAUCAGCAURUGUGUUAGUGGAAGCGUCUGGAAAGGCGCGCGAUACAGGGUGACAGCCCCGUACACAAAAGCGCAUGUGCUGUGAGCUCGAUGAGUAGGGCGGGACACGUGGUAUCCUGUCUGAAUAUGGGGGGACCAUCCUCCAAGGCUAAAUACUCCUGACUGACCGAUAGUGAACCAGUACCGUGAGGGAAAGGCGAAAAGAACCCCGGCGAGGGGAGUGAAAAAGAACCUGAAACCGUGUACGUACAAGCAGUGGGAGCCAGAGGGGGCUUAGUGGUGGGGUGACUGCGUACCUUUUGUAUAAUGGGUCAGCGACUUAUAUUCUGUAGCAAGGUUAACCGCAUAGGGGAGCCGUAGGGAAACCGAGUCUUAACGGGGCGUUAAGUUGCAGGGUAUAGACCCGAAACCCGGUGAUCUAGCCAUGGGCAGGUUGAAGGUUGGGUAACACUAACUGGAGGACCGAACCGACUAAUGUUGAAAAAUUAGCGGAUGACCUGUGGCUGGGGGUGAAAGGCCAAUCAAAC